rnacentral:rRNA from 1 species
UACGUAGGGCGCAAGCGUUGUCCGGAUUCACUGGGUGUAAAGGGUGCGCAGGCGGACUGGCAAGUCAGGGGUGAAAAUCUCACAGCUCAACUGUGAAACUGCCUUUGAUACUGCUGGUCUUGAGUCAGGGAGAGGUUGAUGGAAUUCCAGGUGUAGCGGUGAAAUGCGUAGAUAUCUGGAAAGAACACCGGUGGCGAAGGCGGUCAACUGGCCCCUGAACUGACGCUCAGGCACGAAAGCGUGGGAUC